rnacentral:sRNA from 1 species
ACCGGGCACAGUGGUGCAUGCCUGUAAUCCCAGUGGCUUGGGAGGCUGAGGCAGGAGGAUUGCGAGUUCGAAGCCAGCUUCAGCAAUGGCAAGGUGCUUAGCAACUCAAUGAGACCCUGUCUCUA